rnacentral:rRNA from 1 species
UACAGAGGUCCCAAGCGUUGUUCGGAUUCACUGGGCGUAAAGGGUGCGUAGGUGGUGAGGUAAGUCGGAUGUGAAAUCUCCGGGCUCAACCCGGAAAUGGCAUUGGAAACUACCUUGCUGGAGGGUUUGAGGGGGGAUUGGAAUACUUGGUGUAGCAGUGAAAUGCGUAGAUAUCAAGUGGAACACCAGUGGCGAAGGCGAAUCCCUGGAAAACACCUGACACUGAGGCACGAAAGCUAGGGGAGCAAACAGG